UACGGGGGGGGCAAGCGUUGUUCGGAAUUACUGGGCGUAAAGGGCGCGUAGGCGGCCUUCUAAGUCGGACGUGAAAUCCCUCGGCUUAACCGAGGAACUGCGUCCGAUACUGAAAGGCUUGAAUCCGGGAGAGGGAUGUGGAAUUCCAGGUGUAGCGGUGAAAUGCGUAGAUAUCGGGAGGAACACCAGUAGCGAAGGCGGCACUCUGGGCCGGUACUGACGCUGAGGAGCGAAAGCGUGGGGAGCAAACAGG
rnacentral:rRNA from 1 species